GGAUUUUUUGCCAUCAGAACAUAAGGUGACGGUAGAUAUUGACAAGACUACGAAAGUCCUUUGAGAUGCUGGGAACCAAGAUCAUGUCUUUGAUAUCCAAUUCCAAAAAUCACAAAAUAGAAUUUCUAGAAUGAUGGCCAUGCCUAUCCCUUCUGAACACCUAUGCAUGCCACUUUUCCCAAACUGCUUAUAAUUUCAAGCAGUCC
rnacentral:misc_RNA from 1 species